CCCUUAGAUGUUCUGGGCAGCACGCGCGCUACAAUGGUCUUCGCAAACGGAUGCAUUCUCGAAGGAGAAUGCCAAUCUUGGAAUCUAUGCCUUGGUCGGGACAGUUGCUUGCAAUUUUUCGACUCGAACCAGGAAUUCCUUGUAACCGUGAUUCAUCGCAUCACGAUGAAUACGUCCCUGCCCUUUGUACACACCGCCCGUCGCUCCUACCGAUCGAAGAGUUAGGUGAAUUGUUUUGAUCGAUAAGAUUUGACUAUGGUCAACUCUCGUUGUGAAAUUCUGUGAAUCUGACUGUUUAGAGGAAGGAAAAGUCGUAACA
rnacentral:rRNA from 1 species